CUCUGAGCUUUGGUUCAUCAUCAUCUAUAAAACGGGGACAAUACCAGCAGUGUUAGAGGGUGGUGGCUAUGGCCACGUAAAAAACAGAUCACUCUAUGCCUGUACGAUCGUCAGGAUCGUUCUUUUAGGGAACAAAACAUGCACAUGGAUUAAACCAGACAGGGAAAGAUUUGAGGGACUCACUAGCUUACAUGACUUACGUAAGCUACUCUAAAAGGAGUAUACAUUGGUAGAAACAUUUUAAAAAGUCAUUAAGUAAUGUCAGAUAAAAGUUUAGGUGUAGUUACCCUUUGACUCAGCAACUUCCCUCCUAGGAAAUCCCUGCACAUGUCUAUAAAGAUAGACAUACAAGGUGAAAAACUGCAAACCACCUCAAACGUCCACUAAAGAGGGAUAGGAUGGAUCAACACAAACGAACACUGUGCAGAAGAUAAAAGAAGGUGUGCUGUUGGAGGAAAGGAGAAAGUCACGCACAGGGAGGAAACUGGGUAGAAAUUGCUUGAAACAAAACUCCUCCGGAGGCAUGGACGUCGGCAAGCCAUUCCCCAACUUGGACAGCAGGUGGCGCAAGUGACCAAGAUUUCUUCGACCACCUCCAAAGGAGGACGCAAGAACAAUCCACUGGAGUUACCAUUCUAAAAUAGAGAUCUGGUUGAAACUGUGCCCUGCUGGAAACAACACCCUGUCGCCUGUCCAGGAAAGGGGCAACUAACACUCACCGAGAGCCUGCAGUGUGCUGUGACUGUGUCAGGAGUCUGCCCUUCACCUUGUUUCAUCCUAACGACACCCCUGGGAGGGGGGCAUUGUGUCCCCAUCUUGCAA